AUUGAACGCUGGCGGCAGGCCUAACACAUGCAAGUCGAACGGUAACAGGAAACAGCUUGCUGUUUCGCUGACGAGUGGCGGACGGGUGAGUAAUGUCUGGGAAACUGCCUGAUGGAGGGGGAUAACUACUGGAAACGGUAGCUAAUACCGCAUAACGUCGCAAGACCAAAGAGGGGGACCUUCGGGCCUCUUGCCAUCGGAUGUGCCCAGAUGGGAUUAGCUUGUUGGUGGGGUAACGGCUCACCAAGGCGACGAUCCCUAGCUGGUCUGAGAGGAUGACCAGCCACACUGGAACUGAGACACGGUCCAGACUCCUAUGGGAGGCAGCAGUGGGGAAUAUUGCACAAUGGGCGCAAGCCUGAUGCAGCCAUGCCGCGUGUAUGAAGAAGGCCUUCGGGUUGUAAAGUACUUUCAGCGGGGAGGAAGGGAGUAAAGUUAAUACCUUUGCUCAUUGACGUUACCCGCAGAAGAAGCACCGGCUAACUCCGUG
rnacentral:rRNA from 1 species